UCUUCGGAGGGGAUUAGUGGCGAACGGGUGAGUAACACGUGGGCAAUCUGCCCUGCACUCUGGGACAAGCCCUGGAAACGGGGUCUAAUACCGGAUACGACCAUCUCGGGCAUCCGAUGGUGGUGGAAAGCUCCGGCGGUGCAGGAUGAGCCCGCGGCCUAUCAGCUUGUUGGUGGGGUGAUGGCCUACCAAGGCGACGACGGGUAGCCGGCCUGAGAGGGCGACCGGCCACACUGGGACUGAGACACGGCCCAGACUCCUACGGGAGGCAGCAGUGGGGAAUAUUGCACAAUGGGCGGAAGCCUGAUGCAGCGACGCCGCGUGAGGGAUGACGGCCUUCGGGUUGUAAACCUCUUUCAGCAGGGAAGAAGCGCGAGUGACGGUACCUGCAGAAGAAGCACCGGCUAACUACGUGCCAGCAGCCGCGGUAAUACGUAGGGUGCGAGCGUUGUCCGGAAUUAUUGGGCGUAAAGAGCUCGUAGGCGGCUUGUCGCGUCGGAUGUGAAAGCCCGGGGCUUAACCCCGGGUCUGCAUUCGAUACGGGCAGGCUAGAGUUCGGUAGGGGAGAUCGGAAUUCCUGGUGUAGCGGUGAAAUGCGCAGAUAUCAGGAGGAACACCGGUGGCGAAGGCGGAUCUCUGGGCCGAUACUGACGCUGAGGA
rnacentral:rRNA from 1 species